AAGAACAUAGCACCUGAAGAAAAAAUAAAAGCUUUUGAGCUAGAUUAUGAUAGAAAAUGUGAUCGUUGGAAUGGAUAUGAUCCAUCCACUUAUGCUUGUGUCAUUGAGAGAUAUGAAGCAAGGGAUGAGGCUAGAUGGAUGGGAUCAGUUAUGCAUGCGUGGCCCAAAGUGAUGCAAUGGGUCCCACAUGGUUUAACUUUUUUGACAGGUGGGUAUCAUGUAUUCACUUUUCACUUUUCACAUGGUUUACCUAUAUGACAGGUGGGUAUCAAUGGCCAGUGGAACCAUGAUUCCAUGGUCCAGUUUGCUAGUCCGAUGAGCUUUCCAUUGGCUAGAGCAUUCCUUGGACCACUCCCAGACCUUUAGGUCCUGACCAUUAAAUGUGGAUAGUUGUUUGCACUCAAAAACAUCCUUGAUUGGAUUAUCCUAACCAUCCAUUGGUUCCCUGUCAAAUGUGGACUGUUGGUUGUCAUCAACCAUAUCAUCGGCAUGCUAUAGUCAUCUGGUAACCAUUGAGGAAAUUUCCAGCUUGAUGUGACUUCAAGAUUAGCACCCAUUGCUUUUUUGCAGUUCUCCUACUCCAUUGAUGGGAACAUGAGGAAAUCAUAAACAAAGAAGCAAGAUCUUGACUCCUGACAAGCAUUCAAAGCAGGAAGAUGCACCAGCUUCAGAUGUUAAUAAGGAAAGCAAGGAGGAUCCAACAAAUGAAGUAGAAGAAAAGGGACCAGAGGAGAAGAUUUUGGAGAUCUUCUGCUUUGUGAUGGAUGCCCCAAGGCCUUUCACCAAGGUGCAUGUUUACAAAGAGCCAUCACUCACAAUUCCUGAAACUUCGGGAAUUGUGCAUCAUGGGAUUUUGAACAACAGAAGGCAGAAGGCAGGUCUUGACUAAGGUGAGUACCAUGGUUUCACUUUCAUAUCCUUGACAAAUUUUUUUAUUAACACCACUUGACAAUUUCGUCCUCUUGAGUACUUGUCAUGGUCUCUA